CAAAUCAGUGGCAAAAGCAGAAUAAAGAGAAAAGCAAAACAGGUGAGUGAAUGUUAUUUCCCAAAUUUCAGGCUGCUCUUGGAAGGGAUUCCAGGCCCUACGGAGUCAGAAUUUGAGCUCCGCUCCACCAGGGGGCGCGGCAGGGCCGUUUGCGCGGGAUCCGCCUCCCGGAAACGCCGCUCUAGGACGCCACCCGCGCUCCAGCUGCAUUUCCGCCGGCGCUGGGCGGAAGAGGAGCUUCCUGCUGCUGUAGUCGCCUGGCCGUUUCUCCCGAGCCGUCCAGGCCGCCGGUUUCCAUCUCCCGCAAUCCCUAGACAUCCGCAGCUUCCCGCACUGUCGGCUGUGUCUACGGCCGCUGUCCCGCGCCAUAGGUCGCGGCUGCCCGGGGCGUUGCGGGCUCUGGGGCUCUGUUGGAAGCAGAUGGAAAGUCUCCGUUGGACGGCUUUGGGGGCUGUGCGUCAGGCAGCGCCCCCUUCUUUGCUGCAGGACCCUGAGCCGCAGCGCCGGAUGUGCCCCCGCGGUGUCCAGGGGGUGAGGCCUGGGUGGAUCUGCAUGUCCAGAGGCUCCAUGAGAGGUGUCUUACAGCCAGGCGCGAGGCCACAAAUGCCCCGAGGUAAGGUUUUGGAGCCUUCUCUGGAAUUGUGUCUUUUUGCAUCCGUAAAGUCACACACGUGUGCCCUGGGGUCUGGAUGA
ensembl:lncRNA